rnacentral:rRNA from 1 species
ACGCUCGACACCUACGGGAGGCAGCAGUGGGGGAUAUUGCACAAUGGGGGAAACCCUGAUGCAGCAACGCCGCGUGAAGGAAGAAGGUCUUCGGAUUGUAAACUUCUGUCCUCAGGGAAGAUAAUGACGGUACCUGAGGAGGAAGCUCCGGCUAACUACGUGACAGCAGCCGCGGUAAUCUGAGCGGGCUGGCAAGGC